UCGCCUGUUUUAUCAAAAACAUCGCCUCUUGACAAACAUAAGAGGUCCCGCCUGCCCACUGACAGGAUUUAACGGCCGCGGUACUCUGACCGUGCAAAGGUAGCACAAUCACUUGUUCUCUAAAUAGGGACUAGAAUCAACGGCAUCACGAGGGUCUUACUGUCUCCCUUUUCUAAUCAGUGAAACUGAUCUUCCCGUGAAGAAGCGGGAAUAACUCUAUAAGACGAGAAGACCCCAUGGAGCUUCAAACUCAAUAGUUACCCCAUGCAAACUACACGACAACUUAGGGAAAUAACUAUUAAUUUUAGGUUGGGGUGACCACGGAGAAUAGCCUAACCUCCGCAAUGAAAAGAAUAAUAUCCUUAUCUAUGAGACACAUCUCUAAGAAUUAACAAAUUAGCAUAAAAUGAUCCGAUCUAUUUAUCAUUCGAUCAAUGAACCAAGUUACCCUGGGGAUAACAGCGCCAUCCACUUUGAGAGUUCAUAUCGACAAGUGGGUUUACGACCUCGAUGUUGGAUCAGGGUAUCCCAGUGGUGCAGCCGCUACUAAAGGUUCGUUUGUUCAACGAUUAAAACCCUACGUGAUCUGAGUUCAAACCGGAGA
rnacentral:rRNA from 1 species